rnacentral:rRNA from 1 species
CGUGCUUAACACAUGCAAGUUGAACGAGAGGCAGUAGCAAUACUGUAGUAAAGUAGCAGACGGGUGAGUAACACGUGGGAAACUUCCUUUUAGUAAAGAAUAGCCCAGGGAAACUUGGAUUAAUACUUUAUACGCCCUACGGGAGAAAGAUUUAUCGCUAAAAGAUGUGCCCGCGUUAGAUUUGGUAGUUGGUGGGGUAAAGGCCUUCCAAGCCUGCGAUCUAUAGCUGGUCUGAGAGGAUGAUCAGCCACACUGGGACUGAGACACGGCCCAGACUCCUACGGGAGGCAGCAGUGGGGAAUAUUGGACAAUGGGCGAAAGCCUGAUCCAGCAAUGCCGCGUGAGUGAAGAAGGCCUUAGGGUUGUAAAGCUCUUUCAGUAGGGAAGAUAAUGACGGUACCUACAGAAGAAGCCCCGGCUAACUUCGUGCCAGCCGCCGCGGUAA